GGUCGCAUAGCUCAACUGGAGAGAGCACAAGCCUUCUAAGCUUGGGGUUGUAGGUUCGAGUCCUACUGCGAUCG
rnacentral:tRNA from 1 species